rnacentral:rRNA from 1 species
CACGUAGGGCGCGAGCGUUGUCCGGAUUUAUUGGGCGUAAAGAGCUCGUAGGCGGUUCCGUAAGUCGUGAAGUCAAAUCUCUGGGCUCAACCCAGAAUCGCUUCCGAUACUGCGGUGACUGGAGUCCGGUAGGGGAGUGUGGAAUUCCUGGUGUAGCGGUGAAAUGCGCAGAUAUCGGGAGGAACACCGGUGGCGAAGGCGGUUCUCUGGGCCUUACCUGACGCUGAGGAGCGAAAGCGUGGGGAGCGAACAGG